GACGAACGCUGGCGGCGUGCCUAAUACAUGCAAGUCGAGCGGACAGAUAAGGAGCUUGCUCCUUUGAAGUCAGCGGCGGACGGGUGAGUAACACGUGGGCAACCUGCCUAUAAGACUGGGAUAACUCCGGGAAACCGGGGCUAGUACCGGAUAGAUUCUUUCCUCUCAUGAGGAAAGAAGGAAAGAUGGUUUCGGCUAUCACUUAUAGAUGGGCCCGCGGCGAAUUAGCUAGUUGGUAAGGUAACGGCUUACCAAGGCGACGAUGCGUAGCCGACCUGGAAGGGUGAUCAUCAACACUGGGACUGAGACACGGCCCAGACUCCUACGGGAGGCAGCAGUAGGGAAUCUUCCGCAAUGGGCGAAAGUUUGACGGAGCAACGCCGCGUGAACGAAGAAGGCCUUCGGGUCGUAAAGUUCUGUUGUUAGGGAAGAACAAGUACGAUAGUAACUGAUCGUACCUUGACGGUACCUAACCAGAAAGCCACGGCUAACUACGUGCCAGCCGCCGCGGUAACAC
rnacentral:rRNA from 1 species